UGGAACUCGGUGCCGGACGGUGCGGUAAGACGGAUGGUGUAAUCGGUAUCCGGAAUCACGGGGUUUAAAGGGUUCUGAGGCGGAGAAUUAAGGCAUUGGUGAAAUCCUUUCGCUUAACGAUAGAACUGCCAUUGAUACUGAUUUUCUUGAAUUGGGUUGAGGUUAGCGGAAUGUGACAUGUAGCGGUGAAAUGCAUAGAUAUGUCAUGGAACACCAAUUGCGAAGGCAGCUAACUGGGCCUUGAUUGACGCUGAGGCACGAAAGCGUGGGUAGCGAACAGGAUUAGAUACCCGUGUAGUC
rnacentral:rRNA from 1 species